rnacentral:rRNA from 1 species
GAUGAACGCUGGCGGCGUGCCUAAUACAUGCAAGUCGAGCGAACGGACGAGAAGCUUGCUUUUCUGAUGUUAGCGGCGGACGGGCGAGUAACACGUGCAUAACCAACCUAUAAGACUGGGAUGACUUCGUGAAACCUGAGCUAAUACCGGCUAAUACUUUGAACCGCAUGGUUCAAAAGUGAUUGACGGUCUUGCUGUCACUUAUAGCUGGAUCCGCGCUGCAUUAGUUAGUUGGUAAGGUAACGGCUUAGCAAGGCAACGAUGCAUAGCCGACCUGAGAGAGUGAGUGGACACACUGGAACUGAGACGCGGUCCAGACUCCUAGGGGAGGCAGAAGUGGGGAAUGUUCAGCAAUGGGCGAAAGCCUGACGCAGCAACGCCGAGUGGGUGAAGAAGGUCUUCGGAUCGUAAAACUCUGUUAUUAGGGAAGAAGAUCAGGGAAAGAAACCGCGCACAUAUUGACGGUACCUAAACAGAAAGCAACGGCUAACUACGUG